ensembl:rRNA 5S_rRNA 5S ribosomal RNA
GCCGGCAGCUAGCUUUCUGCAACUCUCACAUGGUCGCCUAUUGAAUUUAAGCAGGGUUGCGCCAGCUCAAUACCUGGAAGGGAGAUCACAUGGGAAAGCUGGGUUGCUGCUGAAA